CUUGAGACUGCUUCUGAAUCCGUCACUAGGGAUCAGUAAAUUCCACAAAGAACUCCUUAAACCUUAAAUAGAACACAAAGGAACUAGAAGUUAUUUUAAAGCUCACUGAGUCCACAUACAUACAAUGAUUAUUUGUCAAUAGCAAAUUUUAAAAAAUGUAAAAACAUCCACUGAAUCCAAACACUACCAAAUAAACCAAAAGCAGAACAAACAUUCCCAACAGGUCAAAGUCACUAUCAACACACAGGACAAAAGAUAAGUUUAAUUUUAAGAAAACAUGAGAUCUAUUUCUCUUAAUGCAUGUCAGAAACCUUUUUGAUCUGAACAGACACAUCAGCUAUGCCACCCACCGCUUUAGCAAUCUGGAAGCAGCUCCCCAUAGAUAAGGAGCUGGAAACUGCUGGGUAAUCGCAUCCAGAGAAGAAAUCCGUGGUGCACCCGUUCUGAUUUCACAUCAUACCUCGAGGAGAAGACACACAGGAGGCUCGUAAUUCUAUCAUUGCCCCUUUACGGUGGCCUGCACUUUACAUAAACCCCAACAAAUUGGUUUUUCUACUGUCAAUGCAGGGUUUCAAGCAGUAUUGCCUGAAACAAUCUCAUGGAUGAAGGGAGCAAAUCAAGAGUCAACCAAAUAAAGACAGUGAAGUUUCUGCUUAGUUUUCUACUUGUACCACACCUGCUAACCUUCAAAGGCCCAAAAAAAUAAAUGAGAACUGAACAGUGUAUUUAAAUGACUCUCUGACAAAAACUGAGGUUUGUGAGCUCCAAAAGGACAUGGCACCAAGGAUUGAAGAAAAUUGUUCCUACCCCUUUGCUGUGGGUUGAAUUGUUGGCCCAUGAGGACAUAUUGAAGACCUAAUAGCAGGCAGAGUUACAGAAAGAGAAGGAGAGACAAAGAAGAAGAGAAUAUUCCAUCUGCUGGUUCACUCCAAAUGGCCACAAUGCCUGGGUCUACACCAGACCAAAGCCAAGAGCUGGGAACUCCGUCCCAGUCUCCCACAUGGGUGAGUUAUAGAUGGUGAGAGAAAGAGACAGAGAGAAAGGUCUUCCUUCCAUUGGUUCACUCCCCAAAUGACUGCCACGGCCGGCGCUGUGCCUAUCUGAAGCCGGGAGCCAGGUGUUUCUUCCUGGUCUCCCAUGCGGGUGCAAGGCCCAACCACUUGGGCCAUCCUCCAUUGCCUUCCCGGGCCACACAGAGAGCUGGACUGGAAGAGGAGCAACCAGGACUAGAAGCUGGUGCCCAUAUGGGAUGCUGGCGCUGCAGGCAGAGGAUUAACCAAGUAAACCACGGUGCAGGCCCUAUAAAAGGCUAAAUUUAAAAUGUUUUUUUUUCUUUUGUCUCAUCUAUUUUUCUUUGUCUCAUCUA